rnacentral:rRNA from 1 species
AUCGAACGCUGGCGGCAGGCUUAACACAUGCAAGUCGAGCGAGCGGCGGACGGGUGAGUAAUGUCUGUGAAACUGCCUGAUGGAGGGGGAUAACUACUGGAAACGGUAGCUAUUACAGCAUACCAUCAGUUGUGCCCAGAUGGGGUUAGCUGGUAGGUGGGGUAAUGGCUCACCUAGGCGACGAUCCCUAGCUGGUCUGAGAGGAUGACCAGCCACACGGGACCUGAGACACGGUCCAGACUCCUACGGGAGGCGGCAGUGGGAAGUAUUGCACAAUGAGCGCAAGCCGGAUGAGGCCAUGCCGCGGGUGUGAGGAAGGCCUUGGGUUUGAAAGGCACUUUCAGCGAGGAGGCGUUACUCGCAGAGGAAGGACCGGCUAACUCCGUGCCAGCAGCCGCGGUAAUUC